AUCGCUUCUCGGCCUUUUGGCUAAGAUCAAGUGUAGUAUCAACAAAAAAGUCAACAGCCUCAAAAUAAAACUAUUAGGGAAUUGUCUUUAAUAUAUUUUAUGAGAUUAAGUUGUGCAAAGCCUCAAACUCCAGGAAAACUAUGACAUGGUAAUGUUUUCCCUCCAAGAAUUCUUUUUUU
rnacentral:snRNA from 2 species